rnacentral:tRNA from 1 species
AUCAGAUGGUAAAGAAUCUGCCUGUAAUGCAGGAGAUCCAGGUUCAAUUCCUGG